rnacentral:rRNA from 1 species
AACGAACGCUGGCGGCAGGCUUAACACAUGCAAGUCGAACGAGAUCUUCGGAUCUAGUGGCAGACGGGUGAGGAACACGUGGGAACAUCCCUUUCAGUUCGGAAUAACGUUGGGAAACUAACGCUAAUACCGCAUACGUCCUUCGGGAGAAAGAUUUAUCGCUAAAAGAUUGGCCCGCGUCUGAUUAGCUAGUUGGUGAGGUAAUGGCUCACCAAGGCUACGAUCAGUAGCUGAUCUGAGAGGAUGAUCAGCCACAUUGGGACUGAGACACGGCCCAAACUCCUACGGGAGGCAGCAGUGGGGAAUAUUGGACAAUGGGCGCAAGCCUGAUCCAGCCAUGCCGCGUGAGUGAUGAAGGCCUUCGGGUUGUAAAGCUCUUUUAUCCGGGAAGAUAAUGACUGUACCGGAAGAAUAAGCCCCGGCAAACUUCGUGCCAGCCGCCGCCGUAA